UGGGGAAUAUUGGACAAUGGGCGAAAGCAUGAUCCAGCAAUGCCGCGUGUGUGAAGAAGGCUCUCGGGUUGUAAAGCACUUUUAUCAGGAACGAAAUACCACAGGUUAAUACCUUGUGGGGCUGACGGUACCUGAGGAAUAAGCACCGGCUAACUUCGUGCCAGCAGCCGCGGUAAUACGAAGGGUGCAAGCGUUAAGCGGAAUUACUGGGCGUAUAGGGUGCGUAGGCGGUUGUUUAAGUCUGUCGUGAAAUCCCCGGGCUCACCCUGGGAAUGGCGAUCGAUACUGGGCAGCUUGAGUGUGUCAUAGGCUUGUGGAAUUCCCAGUGUCGCGGUGAACUGCGUGGUGAUCGGGAGGAACAUCAGUGGCGAAGGCGGCCAUCUCGGACAACACUGACGCUGAAGCACGAAAGCGUGGGUAGCCAACAGG
rnacentral:rRNA from 1 species